AACGUAGGAGACAAACGUUAUCCGGAGUUACUGGGCGUAAAAGGGCGUGCAGGUGGUCUGUUAAGUCUGGCGUGAAAGCUCCUGGCUAAACCGGGAGAGGUCGUUGGAUACUGGCGGACUAGAGGACGGUAGAGGCGUGUGGAAUUCCGGGUGUAGUGGUGAAAUGCGUAGAGAUCCGGAGGAACACCAGUGGCGAAGGCGACACGCUGGGCCGUACCUGACACUGAUACGCGACAGCAUGGGGAGCGAACGGG
rnacentral:rRNA from 1 species